ACGGAAGGCAGCAGUGGGGAAUAUUGCACAAUGGGGGAAACCCUGAUGCAGCAACGCCGCGUGAGUGAUGACGGUCUUCGGAUUGUAAGGCUCUGUCUUUAGGGACGAUAAUGACGGUACCUAAGGAGGAAGCCACGGCUAACUACGUGCCAGCAGCCGCGGUAAUACGUAGGUGGCAAGCGUUGUCCGGAUUUACUGGGCGUAAAGGGAGCGUAGGCGGAUUUUUAAGUGGGAUGUGAAAUACCCGGGCUCAACCUGGGUGCUGCAUUCCAAACUGGAAGUCUAGAGUACAGGAGGGGAAAGCGGAAUUCCUAGUGUAGCGGUGAAAUGCGUAGAGAUUAGGAAGAACACCAGUGGCGAAGGCGGCUUUCUGGACUGUAACUGACGCUGAGGCUCGAAAGCGUGGGGAGCAAACAGGAUUAGAUACCCUGGUA
rnacentral:rRNA from 1 species